AUGGAUGGCAGGGCCAUCUUUUCCAUCUCGUUGUUAUCAACCUCCCGCACCUGGCCCAGACUUGGUGAAGCUCCAACCCUUGGGACACAUAUGAUAUCCAAAGGUUUAGGCUGGGAGAAUCAUGAGGUUGGAUAUGCCCCAAUGCCUCUUGGAUAUAUCGAAUGGGGUACUAAUGUCUUGAACAAACAUCAUACCCACCUGAAGGGGAGUGAAGAGGUCACACUUCUUGAUAUGCAUCAGAUCGCGGGGUUGCCCCUUGAUGGUGAACCUUAUGAAGAAUAUGUUCCCCUAGCUGAUGAGUUGGAUCCUUCGACUCUUUUGUACCCCAACUUCCUGCCUCGGCUCCUAGAAAGUUGGACCAAGCUUGCUGUGGGUGGCAAAGUAGGUUUCAAGGAAUGGUGUGACUUCUUUCACAAUAGUGGAGUAGACUCCUUUGCUACCAACAGCUUAGAAGACCAGCGCAUGUAUACUGCAGCUUUCCUCGCCAUAUGGCUUUGCCUCUACGUCGUUGUUGGUGGUGGGCCAUAUAUUCACCCUGGGGUAUUAGUGAUAGCAGCAUGGAUUUCCCUAGGACGACGCAUCUCUCUGGGUCCACCUGCUCUUUGCUCCCUUUAUUACUCACUUCGGCGAAUUUGUACUCAUCCUAUUGGUCCCUCGUUCAUACAUAGAAUUUGGCCGGUCCACUUCCUUGCUGGACGGAUGGGUGUGUACCUCAAGAAACCCUAUGGAAACAGAGCAAAAAAGCCACAUUUCCCGAGCCCUAAACUUUUGGCAGUGCAACCUAAUAUGGUGAAAACCAUGUUUAAGACGCCACGUGAUUGUACUCUUGAAGAAGCACAUGCUUUCCUCGAUGAUUAUAAGAAUAUUGCUUGGAACCCCUAUUACCUCACUAUGGAAGGUGUGUUCAAACCCAAGAGGGCGUUCUUAAUUUCUAUUCAUCGAGGCAUGCUGCCGUGGAUGCGUGGUACUAUCACCUCCGACGUGUGUAUAGCUGAAUCAUAUCACCCAGACCAAGUGGCACGACAGUUUCGUCUUGACCAAGUUGUACCCUUUUCUCCUCUAGCGAGUCUAGAAUUCCAAUAUUUUCCUGAUGAUGAUCGAGUUGGGGACUCUUCCUUAGCAUGGGCUAACUGGUGGAAAAAAGUUCUAAAGCCUUUCGCCGACAUUCGGGGCCAUCUUUGCAAUGGCAACAUGACUGGGCAGACCCCUUAUGAUGAAGGAAGGCUGCCCUUGAAGCGCAAACUUGAUUUUGCCCAAGAAACUGGUUUUUCUAAACCAAUAACAUUGGACGGUCCAUCAUUAGAUGUUGAACUCAGUAACUUUGUUAAUGAUGAAGAUUUUGGCCACGUCCUCAUGGGAGAAAAGGACAAUGGAUUUGGUGACCUCUUCAGUUUAUCCGUAGAGGAUUAUGCCAUUGGCGAGUGUGGUGCCGGUUGUCAACCUUCCAGCCCGGGUGUGGCUCAAACUGUGCCCCCUACCCCUAGUGCUCUUGAUUUCUUGUUGCGAACAAGAAAUCCGCAACUCCCAAGACCCUGUGGUGACGGUUGUAUCAGGGAAAGGUGCACAGAUAGACUGCAGUUUCGUCAAGGACACAUUUAUGGAUGCUACAGAUUCCGUGGUGAAACGAGCCCUCGAAGGACUAAACGACUCUACCUUGGUGAUCCCAAGGGACGAAUCAUGCUUGAGAGCGUUUCUCAGACGCUGCCCACGCAAGUACCUGAGGUAGCUAAGGUGCAGGCCAUGUUGGUCGGGCUUAUUGACCUUUCCAAGAAGUUGGAGGUUGGCCAGACUGAGUUCACAAAGGAAACCGAGCGAGAUGAACAUGUUGUUGCUGAAGCAGAGCUUAAGAUUAAGUCUGGCCAUGAGGCUUCCAAGGCUAUAAUCGAGGACUUAUCUGCCGUAGAAAAGAAGUGCACUGAAAUGGAGGCACGGGAAGCAGAGCUGAAGGCCCAGCUUGAAGAGGUUACUGUUAGUUUGCACAAGCUUAAACUGGAAAUGGAACAGCAUCGGCGAGCACAUGAUGCCCAUCAAUCUGAACAGAAGAACUUGGUGAAGACUCUACAGGAUACCAAUGCUGGCAAACGUACAAGGCUUGCUGAAUUUGAACAAAAGACGGCAGAUUUAAAGACUGAGGCAAGUCAGUUGUUGAACAACCUGCAGAACUGGCGAGCUCCUUGA
rnacentral:rRNA from 1 species